GAGCAGAACCAAGAAAACAUUGUACACAGAGACUGGCACACUGUGGUACAAUCGAAGAUUGCUGACCACUUGUUCCCCCUUUCCCAGCAACAUUUGACUGCCAAUUUCAUGCUGUUUACCCCAGAGACUUACUUUUACUAGAAGGGAAUGUUUUAUGGACCAUCUGUAACUCUAGUCCAAUGGAAAAUGUGCCGGAUUUACAGUCAGAGGAUGUAAGUUAUAUUAGUUUUGCCACUUUCUGGCUACAUGUCCUUGGGCAAGAUAUUUGACUUCUCUGGAAUUCAGUUCCUCAUCAGUAAAAUGAGGGGGUUGGAGUAGAUGGCCUCUGAACUCCCUUCCAACUCUAUAUCUAAUCUUAUCUAUGAAUUUAUUUCCCAGAAUCUAAUCACCCUGGAGUAAACUGAUAAAAUCAAUACUCUGAAUCUGCAAACAGGAG
rnacentral:lncRNA from 1 species